AACGAACGCUGGCGGCAUGCCUAACACAUGCCAGUCGAACGAGACCUUCGGGGCUAGUGGCGCACGGGUGCGUAACGCGUGGGAACCUGCCCUUAGGUUCGGAAUAACUCCCCGAAAGGGGUGCUAAUACCGGAUAAUGUCUUCGGACCAAAGAUUUAUCGCCUUUGGAUGGGCCCGCGUUGGAUUAGCUAGUUGGUAGGGUAAAAGCCUACCAAGGCGACGAUCCAUAGCUGGUCUGAGAGGAUGAUCAGCCACACUGGGACUGAGACACGGCCCAGACUCCUACGGGAGGCAGCAGUGGGGAAUAUUGGACAAUGGGCGAAAGCCUGAUCCAGCAAUGCCGCGUGAGUGAUGAAGGCCUUAGGGUUGUAAAGCUCUUUUACCCGGGAUGAUAAUGACAGUACCGGGAGAAUAAGCUCCGGCUAACUCCGUG
rnacentral:rRNA from 1 species